UUUGCUAUGUGUUGAGUUACAGUUUCAAAAAAUAGAUAUUCAGAUUUUUAGAAUGAAGUUUGUUGAUUAGCUUAUCAUUUUGAAAUAUGUCCAUUGCAGGUUUUACUGGUUGUGGAGAGAGAGAUCAUUUUUCUAGAUUCUGUACUCCCUGGUGGUUUUGGAGAUGACUCGUACAAAACGAUAUUUAGGUUAAGAGAGAGGAAAAAGUUGCCCUUGUUCAGUGGCUUUUACCAAUAAUAUUUUACGCAAGAGCCAUGUUCUGUGGCUGCUGAUUUACACAAAAGCCUUGUUCUAUGGCUGAUGAUUUACAAAAAGCCUUGUUCUAUGGCUGAAAAUUAACAAAAAGCCUUGUUCUAUGGCUAAUGAUUUACAAAAAGCCUUGUUCUAUGGCUGAUGAUUUACAAAAAGCCUUGUUCUAUGGCUGCUUAUUUAUAGCUUUGUUCUUUUGUUUUAUGUUUACGCAGAAGCCUUGUUCGAUGGCUCAUUUUAUGAAACUAGACCAUGGAGAACAAUUGUAUGACUAUAGGUUUCAGUAAGUGUGUGUCCAUAAUUAUUUUUUUUUCCCAUUUUAUGUGCAGACAUAUUGCAGGCCAGAUUGACCCAAGACCCUGGACAGAGAAGACCGGCAGAAGUUUUGAUCACUUCCCUCAACAAACUUCUGGGAACUACUGUGGCAUCCUUAUACUCAUUUAUGCCCUCUGUAUCUGCACCAAUACCCCAUUUAUCUUCACAGAGGUCAGUUGCAUCUAUUAAUAUAGAAAAAAUAUUUCAAACCCCACCCCAAUUGUCUGAUCAUUGUUAUAUAUGUUUUAGAAUGAUGUGCCAUUAAUCCGCCAGUGGUGGUGCAUCCUACUGAUGGAAAGAUUUCAGAUUGAAGGACAUGGCCAGAGGUUUGCUUUCUGGACUGACAAGGCUAGCAGGCUAUUGCAAGGGACCCUUCAGCCACUUUUUAGGGUAUCUAGGUCAAUCACUUCAGACAUUCCACCUCAUGUGCAAACCAUGGUCAACCGCACAGCCCAAGAAAAGAAGCUGGUAGACUUUGCUGUACAAGACCAUGGAGUCCGGCAACAUUUGUUGGUAUGUUUGUCACACAUUAACAAUGUUUGUUAUUUACAAUUUGCACAUUGUUUUACCAUUACAGUGUUAUAAGCAAAUAAGCAAAAGGCCUUAUAAUUCAUGCUUGUUGUCACCAUGUGUUGGGGGACUUUUUUAUUUUAUUUUUUUUUUAAUGUGGAUUUACAGUCCAAAACUUUUAACAUAAACUACUUUUGACAUUCAACUAGAAAUGUUAAAUGUUUGCUCAUGUUUUGAUGAAGUGCUUUUGGCACUUUGCCUUUUGACCUAAGGGUGUACUCUGUGGAA